GUAAUCUACCACCUCUGACUCCUCCAUCUUUUCUGUCUCCUCCUCUACAAUUAUUCCUGAAACUUUGGAGGCUGUGAGGUUGAUAUAACCCAACCAGUGAAGAAAAGAAGCUGUAUUUUAUUCCCCUACUGGUCUACCCUUCAACUGUUCUACAUCCCAG